CCUACGGGUGGCAGCAGUGAGGAAUAUUGGUCAAUGGCCGGAAGUCUGAACCAGCCAAGCAGCGUGAGGGAGGAAGGCCCAGAGGGUUGUAGACUUCUUUUAUAUGGGAACAAAACGUUCCACUCGUGCGGUUUUGUAUGUACCCUAUGAAAAAGGAUCGGCUAACUCCGUGCCAGCAGCCGCGGUAAUACGGAGGAUCCGAGUGUUAUCCGGAUUUAUUGGGUUUAAAGGGAGCGUAGGGGGAUUGUUAAGUCAGUUGUGAAAGUGUGCGGCUCAACCGUAAAAUUGCAGUUGAAACUGGCAGUCUUGAGUACAGUAGAGGUGUGCGGAAUUCGUGGUGUAGCGGUGAAAUGCUUAGAUAUCACGAAGAACUCCGAUUGCGAAGGCAGUUCACUGGACUGCAACUGACACUGAGGCUCGAAAGUGUGGGUAUCAAACAGGAUUAGAUACCCGAGUAGUC
rnacentral:rRNA from 1 species